GGAGCGCAGCCCCGCGCUUCUUAUUUUUUUUUUUUUUUUUUUUAAGGAGAAAGCGGCGCUUUCUGCGCGGCUCUGGGCGGCCGUGGGUCCUGCCAGAUGUUUGCAGCGGCGGCGUUUCGGGGGUUGGGAGCCGGCUGUGAAAAUCCCGGCUGAAAACUAUAGAGAGGCGAACGCCCUGCUCCUGAGGCACCCGGAGCUGCCUGGUACGGGCCGGGGGGAAAAGCCCCCGAGGAGCAGCUCGCAGCCCCGAUGGUUUCGGGGGCCCUCCCGGAGUUCCCCCCUCGGGCAGCGGCAGAGCUGCGGCUGCCGGGACUGCGCGCGGAACCUGCGUCGGAGCGCAAGAGCUUCCAGAGCUUGUGAGCCCCUGCCAAAGCUGUCAGGGCUAAAAGAUCAGAAUUGUGGGAAAAAAGCCACUUCAGCCGCUCGCAUGGGGGAAGAGCAGCUUGCUCGCGGGCUCUACUUUGCGUGCAGAAAGCGCACAUGAUAAUCAUUUGAUGACACAAAAAAUGGUCAGAUUGAAUGUCGAGAUUCACUUUCACACUUCGCGUUUCAAAACGCGUUGAAUUGUGUUCCUGUCAGCUUCGGCACCGCCUCCAGUCCACCCCCGGAGAACAUCCCCGGGGCAAACACCCUGGUGUGACAGUCACCAAAGUGUCCUGCUAGAGAAUAGCCAACCAUCAGCUCAGGAAUGCCACGUUAAUUGGAAAAAACACUGAUGCGGCUCUUCUCAGCUUUGUCUCCAAGUGUCCGUAAUGUUCCUCUCCCACAGCCCCGGCUCCCUUCGCGUAGCUACGCAACAACUGUGCAGAUAUAUCCAAUAUUUGUCUGCUUUUAAUAGUUAUGAUUGACAGCACAAUCCUCACUGAUUUUAUGGAUGUGUGCCGUUACUACGGUUUUGUUUGCAAUGAACGCUAAUGUACUUUA